rnacentral:rRNA from 1 species
GAUGAACGCUGGCGGCGUGCCUAACACAUGCAAGUCGAGCGGGAAUUUAUGGAACAAAUCUUCGGAAGAGUGAAGUAAAUGAGAGCGGCGGACGGGUGAGUAACGCGUAGGCAACCUGCCCCAUACAGAGGGAUAGCCUCGGGAAACCGGGAUUAAAACCUCAUAACACGAUUGAUUCACAUGGAUUAAUCGUCAAAGAUUUAUCGGUAUGGGAUGGGCCUGCGUCUGAUUAGCUAGUUGGUGGGGUAACGGCCUACCAAGGCGACGAUCAGUAGCCGACCUGAGAGGGUAAUCGGCCACAUUGGAACUGAGACACGGUCCAAACUCCUACGGGAGGCAGCAGUGGGGAAUAUUGCACAAUGGGCGAAAGCCUGAUGCAGCAACGCCGCGUGAGCGAUGAAGGCCUUUGGGUCGUAAAGCUCUGUCCUUGGGGAAGAAAAAAAUGACGGUACCCUUGGAGGAAGCCCCGGCUAACUACGUGCCAGCCGCCGCAGUAA